AGGCCGAAACUGUAGAUGGCGUUGAUGUGCGUCUAUGAUGAAGAUUACGCGUGGCAAGUUAAAUGGGUGUUUGUUACGUUACCCUGUUUUGUGUUUUAAAGGAAUUUUUGACAAAAAAUUUACGUUAUGUUGUUAUCUAUUCAGUAUUGCAAUCGUUGGGUAUGUCUUGAAAAGGAAAUCCUUGAAAUAGAUUGAUUUUUGUAUGUGUGGUGCUUCGCCUUGUUAGCUAUGCCAGCUACUGAACCAGCAGCCUGCAUUCCUGCUUUCAAUGAACCACAAGGGAUUCUGACACGUUAAGAAGUCCACAUUCCUUACAUGAAGAUCACUAUCCAGUUCAAGUACUGUUAAUGGACCUUGAGCCUUUUGUUUAAGCUUAGUGAUGUGUUCUCUCAUCAUUCAACCACAGAGUCUUCAUCUACUUUGUGUUGCUAAACAUCAGUCCUCACCAUUCCAUGUAUCCAGAUUUUUAAGGUUCUCUGAUUAGCCAACCAUCAUCGAUACACUUCAACUCUUCAUUGUGGUUUCUCUUCCUCUCUUCUUAGUCUGCUGAAUGCCAACAUGGAAUAAGGUUCAUCUUCAUUGCCUUUCCAUGAAAAUUGUCAUUGGUAAUCCUGCUGUUCUUCUCACCGUUACUUAGCCGGCUAACAUGGAUGGGCUUUAACACCAUCUCCAUUUUUUUUGACUGCAAAUAUUCAUCUUCCGUCAGUACAAAACUGCUGUUUCGACAAUUUCGUUAGUUUCGCCCCCAGUGGACCACACGCAGCUACAUUUUCUUGGUCUUCUUGUCAUUGUUGUCUACGCCUUCGGCUCAUCGCGAUCUUCAUCAACGUCUUCGCCUCAUCACUGUCUUCGUCGCCGUCUUCGCCCUCAUCUCCAUCUCGUCGACGUCUUGGCCGUCUUUGCCUUUGUUUCAUCGCCGUCUUGGCCGUCUUUAUCUACGCCAUCACCUCGUCGCCUUCGCCCUUUACUUAGAGAAUUCAUCGUUGAUCGUCGCCCUGGUAUUGGUUUUUUUUGUUGCAUUGUAAUGUUUAAGUUAACCCGUUGGCUGCCACCCCGUUUGCGUCCCAUUUUUUUUGUAGCUUUAGGGACCGGCCGCAAUGGCCUUCGCCGUAAGGCGCCUUAGGCAA